GAUGAACGCUGGCGGCGUGCCUAACACAUGCAAGUCGAGCGGAGUCAUAAGCAGAUUCUUCGGAUGAUUUUUAUGACUUAGCGGCGGAUGGGUGAGUAACACGUGGGUAAUCUGCCCUGCACAGGGGGAUAACAGCUGGAAACGGCUGUUAAUACCGCAUAUGCACACGUUAUCGCAUGAUAGAGUGUGGAAAGAUUUUAUCGGUGCAGGAUGAGCCCGCGUCGGAUUAACUUGUUGGCAGGGUAACGGCCUACCAAGGUGAUGAUCCGUAGCCGGCCUGAGAGGGCGACCGGCCACAUUGGGACUGAGACACGGCCCAAACUCCUACGGGAGGCAGCAGUGGGGAAUAUUGCACAAUGGGCGCAAGCCUGAUGCAGCGACGCCGCGUGAAGGAAGACGUAUUUCGGUAUGUAAACUUCUAUCAGCGGGGAAGAAGAUGACGGUACCCGACUAAGAAGCCCCGGCUAACUACGUGCCAGCAGCCGCAGUAAUAC
rnacentral:rRNA from 1 species